rnacentral:rRNA from 1 species
UUGUGCCAGCCGCCGCGGUAAUACGAAGGGGGCUAGCGUUGCCCGGAAUCACUGGGCGUAAAGGGCGCGUAGGCGGCCAUUUAAGUCNGGGGGUGAAAGCCUGUGGCUCAACCACAGAAUUGCCUUCGAUACUGGGUGGCUUGAGUCCGGAAGAGGUUGGUGGAACUGCGAGUGUAGAGGUGAAAUUCGUAGAUAUUCGCAAGAACACCGGUGGCGAAGGCGGCCAACUGGUCCGGAACUGACGCUGAGGCGCGAAAGCGUGGGGAGCAA